rnacentral:rRNA from 1 species
CCUACGGGGUGCUGCAGUGGGGAAUAUUGGACAAUGGGCGAAAGCCUGAUCCAGCCAUGCCGCGUGUGUGAAGAAGGCCUUCGGGUUGUAAAGCACUUUCAGUGGGGAAGAAAGCCUUGGGGCUAAUACCCUCGAGGAAGGACAUCACCCACAGAAGAAGCACCGGCUAACUCCGUGCCAGCAGCCGCGGUAAUACGGAGGGUGCGAGCGUUAAUCGGAAUUACUGGGCGUAAAGCGCGCGUAGGCGGUCUGAUAAGCCGGUUGUGAAAGCCCCGGGCUCAACCUGGGAACGGCAUCCGGAACUGUCAGGCUAGAGUGCAGGAGAGGAAGGUAGAAUUCCCGGUGUAGCGGUGAAAUGCGUAGAGAUCGGGAGGAAUACCAGUGGCGAAGGCGGCCUUCUGGACUGACACUGACGCUGAGGUGCGAAAGCGUGGGUAGCAAACAGGAUUAGAUACCCCGGUAGUC